GUUUAAGAUAAUUUGAAGUUAUUUGAGAUCCUGUGAAGGCCUGUCUACUUCUGCUUCAUCUUCUUCUUAGGGCAUAACCUAAAGUGAGAAGAAUUUUCCAGCAGCAACACUGCCGCUCGCCUACCCAGCAGGCCCUGGACUCCAAGGCCCAUCCCUCUAAUUCUGAGAGAUUGUCAGAAUUCUCAGUCAGCUUCUCAGUGAUCCCUUGAAGGAUAGGCUCAUGCUACGAGGAAAAAAGCAACUCCCAACUUCAGUUCUACAUCAUUCCUCAGAUCCUGGUCUAUAAAUUUUCACUACCUUGUUAGCUCUCCAUUGCCAUCAGAUAGUUUUUAAUAUCUCGUGUAAUUGUUCUAGCUGUCCUCUGGAAGAUUUGUCCAAAGCGUUUGAUAUUAUUGGAGGCAGAAAUUCCAAACUGAAAAUGUUUAUGCAAGCUUGCCAAGGCAUGACAUUACCAUUAUCAAUAAUUAAUAACAACAAUAAUAAUGAUAAUAGUGAAACCCACCAACUUCUGAAGUUACCUGGAAGAUAACGACACACAGGAAGGAAGACAGUAAGCCUCACAUCUGAGCCACAGCUGCAGACUUAUUUUGAAGCCUUCCUUGUUGUGUCUCCCUGUUUUUUCAUCACAUCUUUUCUGCAUUAUUUUCAUUGUUUCAAAUCCAUAGUUAAUAUUUUCAUCCACCAUGCUAUUAUUUUUGAAUCAUCUUUUCACUUUGAUCAUCUUUAAUCCCCUAAGUUUGAAAUGGUAAAAAUGGAAAUGGACAGGUGGUCUCCUUCCCAUCACCAACCAUGCCUGCCCUGUUUCCUUCUGUUAGAAGCACCACUUCCCCUCUCAAGUGCCCUGGGUCCCAAUUUUUCUCUUUGAUCAUAGGGAACACCAUUGUCUACCCCCAGCCAGUAUGGCUUUCCUGAAGCAGGAGCCACUUCCCAUCAAUGCUAGCUGAAGCCAUAGGAUGGACCACAGCACUGGGAGAGACUACGGAAGUCACGGAUGAAACUGUUCUUCUGGCUGAAGAUCACUGCAUGCACUCCCGCAUUGGCGUCAAUUCCCACCUGUUCACGUGGACCUCCCACUUUGCUUCUCCAGCCUAGGCCUCUCCCCUGAGCUUUGGAGCUGUCUGAAUGUUGAAU
rnacentral:lncRNA from 1 species